UUUCUGCGGUGCCCGUACCGCAAACCGACACAGGUAGGUAGGAAGAAGAUUCUAAGGCCAACGGGAGAAGGGUUGUUAAGGAACUCGGCAAAUUGACCCCGUAACUUCGGGAGAAGGGGUGCUCCAGAGAUGGAGCCGCAGAGAAUCGGCCCAAGCAACUGUUUACCAAAAACACAGGUUUGUGCUAAAUCGAAAGAUGACGUAUACGAGCUGGCGCCUGCCCGGUGCUGGAGGGUUAAGAGGAGAUGUGCAAGCAUUGAAUCGAAGCCCCAGUGAACGGCGGCCGUAACUAUAACGGUCCUAAGGUAGCGAAAUUCCUUGUCAGGUAAGUUCUGACCCGCAUGAAAGGCGUAAUGAUUUGGGCACUGUCUCGACAGCCCGCCCGGCGAAAUUGUAGUACCGGUGAAGAUGCCGGUUAUCCGCGACAAGACGGAAAGACCCCAUGGAGCUUUACUGUAGCCUAAUAUUGGGUUUCGAUGUUGCAUGCACAGGAUAGAUGGGACACUGGGAAACAAGUGCUUUGGCAUUUGUGGAGUGGCCGUUGGGAUACCAUCCUUGCGAUAUUGGAAUUCUAACCUGCGCCUUUGAAUCAAGGCGGGGGACAUUGUUAGGUGGGCAGUUUGACUGGGGCGGUCGCCUCCUAAAGAGUAACGGAGGCGUUCAAAGGUUCGCUCAGCUUGAACGGAAAUCAAGCAAAAGAGUGCAAACGCAGAAGCGAGCCUAACUGCGAGACUGACGGGUCGAGCAGUAACGAAAGUUGGAGUUAGUGAUCCGGUGGUAUGUGAGUGGAAAUGCCAUCGCUCAACGGAUAAAAGUUACCCUGGGGAUAACAGGCUGAUCUCCCCCAAGAGUCCACAUCGACGGGGAGGUUUGGCACCUCGAUGUCGGCUCAUCGCAUCCUGGGGCUGUAUUCGGUCCCAAGGGUAUGGCUGUUCGCCAAUUAAAGCGGUACGCGAGCUGGGUUCAGAACGUCGUGAGACAGUUCGGUCCCUAUCUGUCGUGGGCGCAGGAUAUUUGAUGGGAGCUGUUCCUAGUACGAGAGGACCGGAGCUGACGUACCUCUGGCGCACCAGUUGUUCUGCCAAGGGCAUAGCUGGGCAACUAUGUACGGAUCGGAUAAACGCUGAAAGCAUCUAAGCGUGAAGCCGACCCAAAGAUAAGAUAUCCCAUUGUUUCAAACAAGUAAGACCCCUUGAAGACUACAAGGUUGAUAGGCAUGAUGUGUAAGUGGAGUGAUCCAUUCAGCAAGCGUGUACUAAUAGGUCGAGGGCUUGACCG
rnacentral:rRNA from 1 species